rnacentral:rRNA from 1 species
GAUGAACGCUGACAGAAUGCUUAACACAUCAGCAAUUGAUUGGUGGCGGACGGGGUAGUAACGCGAAAAGAACUUACCUCACAGUUAGGAACAACAUGUGGAAACGAAUGCUAAUACCUAAUACUGUGAGAGAGCUUUGUUUCCCAUUAGCUAGUUGGAGAGGUAACGGCUCACCAAGGUGAUGAUGGGUAGCCGGCCUGGGAGGGUGAUCGGCCACAAGGGGACUGAGACACGGCCCGUACUCCUACGGGAGGCAGCAGUGGGGAAUAUUGGACAAUGGACCAAAGUCUGAUCCAGCAAUUCUGUGUGCACGAUGAAGUUUUCGGAAUGUAAAGUGCUUUCAGUUGCGAAGCGGUACCAACAGAAGAAGUGACGGCUAAAUACGUGCCAGCCGCCGCGGUAAUAC